GAAUGCUGACAUAAGUAACGAUAAAGCGGGUGAAAAGCCCGCUCGCCGGAAGACCAAGGGUUCCUGUCCAACGUUAAUCGGGGCAGGGUGAGUCGACCCCUAAGGCGAGGCCGAAAGGCGUAGUCGAUGGGAAACGGGUUAAUAUUCCCGUACUUGGUGUUACUGCGAAGGGGGGACGGAGAAGGCUAUGUUGGCCGGGCGACGGUUGUCCCGGUUUAAGCGUGUAGGUGUGUGUUCCAGGUAAAUCCGGUUCACUUUAACACUGAGGCGUGACGACGAGGCACUACGGUGCUGAAGCAACAAAUGCCCUGCUUCCAGGAAAAGCCUCUAAGCAUCAGGUAACACGAAAUCGUACCCCAAACCGACACAGGUGGUCAGGUAGAGAAUACCAAGGCGCUUGAGAGAACUCGGGUGAAGGAACUAGGCAAAAUGGUGCCGUAACUUCGGGAGAAGGCACGCUGACACGUAGGUGAAGUGAUUUACUCAUGGAGCUGA
rnacentral:rRNA from 1 species